rnacentral:lncRNA from 1 species
UCUAUUUAUAGGCUUCACAUCCAGACUGCUGAGCUGGACCACUCAGUAGCUGACCAAACCCUUCAACAUGAGUUUGGUCCAUUGACCAACUAGCUUAGUCACCUCCUUGUGCAUGACUCACCAAAGCUAGUUGUGGGCUAUGAAACCAGCUAUUGUGAGCUACUUCUAAAAAGCCUAUGGUGGGCUACUUGAGGUGAGGUCAUGGAUGACUUCAUGGUUUGAAUGAUGGUUAAGUCAAGUCUGGUAAGCACUGCCCAGCGCACCUACUUCACCAUUGAGCUGCUUGUUCAGCAGCUUCUGACCGUGUUGACUGGGACGUGGCUUGGUGCUUGCUG